GACAGUGGCACAGGCCGGGAUCCCUGGAAGUGAAGCGAGGGCUCAGCCUGUCCCCCGUGAAGCAGACGACAAGCACCUUCCCUAGAGGCGAGGGCACAAGUCGGGCAGUCUCUGCCUCCGGCCUCUCUCCUGUCCUGCUCCCACCUGGCCAGCCACCCGGGGUGUCCAAGGAGGCAGCACCAGAGACAGCAGGGUUACUUUCUCGUCCCCCUCCCCUUCCUCCUCCUCCUCCCCCUCCUCUCCCUCCCCCCCUCCCCCUCCCCUCCCGACAGCCCCCCUUUCAGUUCCUUACAAUCCAGUCUGGCAGGGCGAGCUGGGCCAGACGAGUGGGAGCUGGGAAGACACAGUCAGAGGCCAGCUGGGGCCAAGAGCCACAAACCACGGUGCCCGUUCCCCCACACCGCCCCCACCCGGCCUUGGCUUGGCUGCCAGGAAGGCGGGGGCAGGGUGGGGACCCCAAGUCAUCUCCAGGACAGGCCCCUCCCAGGCGUCCCCAGGGCGGGAGGGUGGGGCACACACUGAGUCACCAAGCUUCCCUCCCCCUCUCCCGGGCCUCCUGUGUGUGGUGCAGGGAGAAGGUGCUGGCUGGCACGUCUCCCCCCUCCCGCUCCGGGCUCUCUCUGCCUCCCGGGGGGAGGGGGGGUCCUCCCUUUGGAGCAUGCGCCUUCACGGUCCCCAGGGAACCCACGGAGAUCCGGAGUGGGCGGCUGAGCGCCCACCCUGAGUCCCAGGCUGCAUCUCCAGGCUGGAUGCUUCUGAGCCGCGGGUCAGACCGCGGAAAGCAGGGGAUUCCCGCGGGUUCAGCUCCGGCUCUGCCAUCCGCCAGCCACGUGAGCUCGGACAGUCACAGUCACGGGAGUUCUCUGUCAGCUUCGCGUGUGUGCGAUGGGGGGAAGGGCAGGAUCGGCGCCCUGGCGUGGAGGGUCAGAUGCCUCUGCCAGCAGUGCUGGGUCACUCACUGGCAGCUCCUGGCCGCAAGGGUUAACCCCGGAAGGAGGAGCAGCCCUGGUCCCUCUUCCCCCUUGGGCCUGGCAGGACUGGGAGGAGGGCGGGAGGGAGCUGAGACCUCCUUAGGACGGAGACAGGAAGCCUCGGUAGGGAGAGGCACAGGGCCUGCUUCAGGAACCAGACACCUCAGGCUCUCCAAGUCUUUACACUCUCCCCCAAACUCCUCCCCAGAGAACCAGAAAAGAAAAAGCCUGGUCAAGAAUAUUUUGUGGGGCUGGCACUGUGGCAUAGUGGGUGGGGCCACUGCCUGCAAUGCUGGCAUCCCAUAUGGGCAACGGUUUGAGUCCCAGCUGCUCCACUUCCCUGUUAAUGGCCUGGGAAAGCAGUGGAAGAUGGUCCAACUGCUUGGACCCCUGCACCCACGUGGGAGACCCAGAAGAAGCUCCUGGCUCCUGGCCUCGGUCUGA
rnacentral:lncRNA from 1 species